rnacentral:rRNA from 1 species
GACAGGUGGUGCAUGGUUGUCGUCAGCUCGUGUCGUGAGAUGUUGGGUUAAGUCCCGCAACGAGCGCAACCCUUAAGCUUAGUUGCCAUCAUUAAGUUGGGCACUCUAAGUUGACUGCCGGUGACAAACCGGAGGAAGGUGGGGAUGACGUCAAAUCAUCAUGCCCCUUAUGAUUUGGGCUACACACGUGCUACAAUGGACAAUACAAAGGGCAGCGAAACCGCGAGGUCAAGCAAAUCCCAUAAAGUUGUUCUCAGUUCGGAUUGUAGUCUGCAACUCGACUACAUGAAGCUGGAAUCGCUAGUAAUCGUAGAUCAG